rnacentral:siRNA from 1 species
UGUAUCUUUAGGUAAGUUCGUA